GACGUAGGGCGCGAGCGUUGUCCGGAAUUAUUGGGCGUAAAGAGCUCGUAGGCGGUCUGUCGCGUCGGCUGUGAAAUCCCGAGGCUCAACCUCGGGUCUGCAGUCGAUACGGGCAAACUUGAGUGUUGCAGGGGAGACUGGAAUUCCUGGUGUAGCGGUGAAAUGCGCAGAUAUCGUAAGGAAGACCAGCGGCGAAGGCGAGUUCCUGGACAGUUACUGACGCUGAGGCACGAAGGCCAGGGGAGCAAACGGG
rnacentral:rRNA from 1 species